rnacentral:rRNA from 1 species
AUAUUCCACGAUCAACCUUACCACCCUUUGCUCCCCAGCUUAUAUACCGCCGUCUCAAGCUUACCUUAUGAAAGCUAAAAAGUAAGCGAAAUAGCUCCUACAGCUAGAAAGUCAGGUCCAGGUGUAGCCAAUAGGGUGGGUGUAAUGGGCUACAUUUUCUAAAAUAGAAAUAUCUACGGACAGUCCCUUGAAACAAGGACUAACAAGUCGGAUUUAGCAGUAAUCUAGGAAUAGAAAGCCUAUAUUAAACCG